GUACACGCUGUGACUAGCAUAUCAAUAAGCGGAGGAAAAGAAACUAACAAGGAUUCCCCUAGUAACGGCGAGUGAAGCGGGAAGAGCUCAAAUUUGAAAUCUUAAAGGGUUUCCCUUUACGAAUUGUAGUUUAAAGAAGUGUUUUCUGUUGAGGUUUUGGUAAAAGUUCUUUGGAAUAGGACAUCAUAGAGGGUGAGAAUCCCGUAUUUGACCUUUACUUUCAACUUUGUGAUACACUUUCAAAGAGUCGGAUUGUUUGGGAAUGCAGUCCAAAAUGGGUGGUAAAUUUCAUCUAAAGCUAAAUAUUGGCGAGAGACCGAUAGCGAACAAGUACCGUGAGGGAAAGAUGAAAAGAACUUUGAAAAGAGAGUUAAACAGUACGUGAAAUUGUCAAAAGGGAAGCGUUUGACACCAGUGUUGUUUUUCUGAAAAUCAAUUAAAGAACUGUUUAUGCUAAGUUGUUUAGACUUUAGUCAGCUAUCUGUUUAGUUUUGAGCUUUUCUUUAAUGCACUUUUCAGUUAACAAGUCAACAUCAAUUUCUUUUGCUGUAAAAAAGCUUGAGGAAGGUGGCUUGAGAUUCGUCUUAAGUGUUUAUAGCCUCUUGCCUAUGCAGUCGGAGAGAUUGAGGUCUGCAGCGUAGAUCCUUCGGGGCUAAAUGCAUUUGUGCUAAGUUAUAGCAUUUUAUAGACAACUUGUUGACUAUGAUUUGUCUUGUAGCUUACUCGCUUAUGUUAUUUUACCUACGCUUAGGAUGUUGACUGAUAUGUAGUCGU
rnacentral:rRNA from 1 species